GUAACAAAAGCGCCAGAACUUAAGUUCGACUGACCAAAUCGAAGAUUUGGAGUCUCACUUGAGUUGACGAGGAUGGGGAGUAUCGAAUCUUCGGCGGGUGCCCCACGGUAUCGCACUACCGUUAACAACUGAUAAAACCAGGAAGCAAUUUCUGAUACAACAU
rnacentral:ncRNA from 1 species